UACGUAGGGUGCAAGCGUUGUCCGGAAUUAUUGGGCGUAAAGAGCUCGUAGGCGGUCUGUCGCGUCGGAUGUGAAAAUCCAGGGCUCAACCCUGGACCUGCAUUCGAUACGGGCAGACUAGAGUUCGGCAGGGGAGACUGGAAUUCCUGGUGUAGCGGUGAAAUGCGCAGAUAUCAGGAGGAACACCCGUGGCUAAGGCGGCUCUCUAGUACGGUACUGACGCUGAGACGCGAAAGCGUGGGGAGCGAACAGG
rnacentral:rRNA from 1 species